rnacentral:tRNA from 2 species
GUGGCUAUAGUAUAGUGGUCAGUACGUAUCGUUGUGGCUUGCUGUGCAAUCACAACGCUCCGAUGAGACGCCGGUUCGAUUCCGGCUAGCCACA